GAUGAACGCUAGCGGCAGGCUUAAUACAUGCAAGUCGUGGGGCAGCAUGAGUAGCAAUACUUGAUGGCGACCGGCAAACGGGUGAGGAACACGUACACAACCUUCCUUCAAGCGGGGAAUAGCCCAGAGAAAUUUGGAUUAAUACCCCAUAAUAUAUUUGAUAAGGCAUCUUAUUAAUAUUAAAGCUUCGGCACUUAAUGAUGGGUGUGCGGCUGAUUAGAUAGUUGGCGGGGUAACGGCCCACCAAGUCUACGAUCAGUAGCUGAUGUGAGAGCAUGAUCAGCCACACGGGCACUGAGACACGGGCCCGACUCCUACGGGAGGCAGCAGUAAGGAAUAUUGGACAAUGGACGAAAGUACUGAUCCAGCCAUGCCGCGUGAAGGA
rnacentral:rRNA from 1 species